GUAGUAGAAUCCUCAAAGACGAUUGGUCAAAAGAUCCGGAAGUGCUGGGCUUUUCCUGUGUAAAACGCUCAAAUAAAUAAAUAAAUAAAUAAAACAGCUAAAGUCAAUGGCGGCGUUUGUAGCUCUGAGAGGCGGUUGUUGCCAUUAACACGGAGACCGAAGAGAUCCUGAUGGAGGUGACGCUAAGAUGAAAUCAGCCGCUAACAAGACAACAAAGGAAGCGAGUUGUCAAAAUGUGAUCAGCAUAAAAAUU